rnacentral:rRNA from 1 species
UACGGAAGAUGCGAGCGUUAUCCGGAUUUAUUGGGUUUAAAGGGUGCGUAGGCGGAAGAAUAAGUCAGCGGUGAAAUACUUCAGCUCAACUGGAGAAUUGCCGAUGAAACUGUUUUUCUAGAGUAUAAAAGAGGUAUGCGGAAUGCGUGGUGUAGCGGUGAAAUGCAUAGAUAUCACGCAGAACCCCGAUUGCGAAGGCAGCAUACUGGGCUAUAACUGACGCUGAAGCACGAAAGCGUGGGUAUCGAACAGG